rnacentral:rRNA from 1 species
GGGUGCGAUCAUACCAACAUUAAGGGCACCGGAUUUCAUCAAAACUCCGCUCGGCAGUUAAGUGAGCUUGGGUUAGAGUAGUACUGAGAUGGGU